CAUAUGCCGAGAGGUGAAAUGAAUUUCGCCUGAGGAUGAGCUCGCGUCUGAUUAGCUAGUUGGUGAGGUAAUGGCUCACCAAGGCUUCGAUCAGUAGCUGGUCUGAGAGGAUGAUCAGCCACACUGGGACUGAGACACGGCCCAGACUCCUACGGGAGGCAGCAGUGGGGAAUUUUCCGCAAUGGGCGAAAGCCUGACGGAGCAACGCCGCGUGAGGGAUGAAGGCCUCUGGGCUGUAAACCUCUUUUAUCAAGGAAGAAGAUCUGACGGUACUUGAUGAAUAAGCCACGGCUAAUUCCGUGCCAGCAGCCGCGGUAAUACGGGAGUGGCAAGCGUUAUCCGGAAUUAUUGGGCGUAAAGCGUCCGCAGGCGGUUUUGAAAGUCUGUUGUUAAAGCGUGGAGCUUAACUCCAUUUCAGCAAUGGAAACUACAAGACUAGAGUGUGGUAGGGGCAGAGGGAAUUCCCGGUGUAGCGGUGAAAUGCGUAGAUAUCGGGAAGAACACCAGUGGCGAAGGCGCUCUGCUGGGCCAUAACUGACGCUCAUGGACGAAAGCCAGGGGAGCGAAAGGGAUUAGAUACCCCUGUAGUCCUGGCCGUAAACGAUGAACACUAGGUGUCGGGGGAAUCGACCCCCUCGGUGUCGUAGCCAACGCGUUAAGUGUUCCGCCUGGGGAGUACGCACGCAAGUGUGAAACUCAAAGGAAUUGACGGGGGCCCGCACAAGCGGUGGAGUAUGUGGUUUAAUUCGAUGCAACGCGAAGAACCUUACCAGGGUUUGACAUCCUGCGAAUCCCUUGGAAACUUGGGAGUGCCUUCGGGAGCGCAGUGACAGGUGGUGCAUGGCUGUCGUCAGCUCGUGUCGUGAGAUGUUGGGUUAAGUCCCGCAACGAGCGCAACCCACGUCUUUAGUUGCCAGCAUUUAGUUGGGCACUCUAGAGAGACUGCCGGUGAUAAACCGGAGGAAGGUGUGGAUGACGUCAAGUCAUCAUGCCCCUUACAUCCUGGGCUACACACGUACUACAAUGCUACGGACAAAGGGCAGCAAACUCGCGAGAGCUAGCAAAUCCCAUAAACCGUGGCUCAGUUCAGAUCGUAGGCUGCAACUCGCCUACGUGAAGGAGGAAUCGCUAGUAAUCGCAGGUCAGCAUACUGCGGUGAAUACGUUCCCGGGCCUUGUACACACCGCCCGUCACAUCAUGGAAGUUGGCCACGCCCGAAGUCGUUACUCCAACCCUUGUGGAGGAGGAUGCCGAAGGUGGGGCUGAUGACUGGGGUGAAGUCGUAACAAGGUAGCCGUACCGGAAGGUGCGGCUGGAUCACCUCCUAACAGGGAGACAAUAACUGAUUGUGAUGUCUGAGUAAUUUAUUCUCAGGCCAUGAUCCUGUCAUCUCGAAGGUCGAUCGGUACCUCAACUUGAGGGUAAGAGAAGAGCUGAUUAAUCAGCUUGGAGAUUUAUCCAUCAAUUUCAGUUCCUAAACUUUGUCUAGGUCACCCCACAGGGUCGUCAGUUUAACUGAAGUAUUUUGCUUUAAAAAGCAUUUUGCUUUGAGAUUAAAUAAGACGUUACUGAGCGGUAGCAACUCCUGGGCCAUUAGCUCAGGUGGUUAGAGCGCACCCCUGAUAAGGGUGAGGUCCCUGGUUCAAGUCCAGGAUGGCCCAUUCACCGCCUGCUGAGCAGGCAGGACUACAUGGCUGGGGGUUUAGCUCAGUUGGUAGAGCGCCUGCUUUGCAAGCAGGAUGUCAGCGGUUCGAGUCCGCUAACCUCCAUCCAAUGUUGAGGCUCUGCCCUCAGACCAUGACUCGGACCAUGCAUGCUUUUAAAGGAUGCGAGGAAAGAGUUAGGAGUUUUACUGUUGUGUUGAUCUAGAUGGUUGUUUGCUGAAGAUUUCAGCUUCUUUUCAUUCUUGUCUAGUCAAGAUCAAAUCAAAACCUGAUCAAGAUCUAAUCAAGACUAGUUGAAAGGACGCUGAAUUCAAAAAUGCCCUGGCAACAGGGCAGUUUGAAUGUCAGCAGAACCUUGACAACUGCAUAGUUGAAGUCUGGAAAUAAAGCAUCUCAUGGAUGCUUGAUUCAGGUCUUAAGUCGAAUCCAGUAAUGGAUAUGAUUUGGGAUGUGAGUCAAGAAAAUUCUAUUGAGUUUUUAGAGCCGAGAGCUUCCAGUUUUCUUGUUUGUCCGCCGAGGCCAAACGAGUUUGAUCCUGGCAUUCAAACCGCAACCAAGAGUCUGAGUAAUCAUGCUCAAACGUUGUAGGUGAAUCCAGAGAGAAUCGGCCUCAACAG
rnacentral:misc_RNA from 1 species